GGGGCUGCACUGGUUUCGACGUGGGUUCGGACGCGUGGCAGGGCAUGUCGAGCUGAAUGUGCUCGUAAAACAGAUUCAAACAAACUAACUGCAAACGACGAACGUUUCGCACUCGCCGCUUAAUUGCCGGUGAGCUUUGCAACAGCAGGCCUCUGGGCUGGGCAAGGGUUGUUUGGCGCAAGCUGAACAGUCCAGGCUGCAAAGAUAAUUUCAGGGGCUGGUCCCGCGCCGGGUAACUUGGCGCAGGACGAGACAAUAGGUUGCUGGCGUCCUGUUUAGCGUGCCGCUGCGCGAUUCAGGAAGCGAGACUCAAAUCAGACGGCUACACAUGUAGAACUGUACGAACAAGGCUUGCGGACGCGGGUUCAAUUCCCGCCAGCUCCACCA
rnacentral:tmRNA from 1 species